UGAGGAGGUGGGAGCCUUCCUGGGGCUGCUGAUAAAUACAGCAUGGAGCAAAGCGUAAAUGACCACUAAGGGGAUCUGCAGAGGGGAGAGGACCUAGCUGAGGUGCUUGAUCCAAUAGGAUGGCAAGGAGAGGCUGAAACAAAGGAAAAGGCAAAUGAAAAUCAAAGGCUUGGAACUCAGGAGAGUGCAUACCUACUGUGAAGGGAUUACUGGAAUUGAGAGCCACCAUAUGACAGUCAGCUGCUUUUCCUCCCGUGUUCUGGGAAGGCAGAGUUGAGCAAUGUGUAGAAAUGAUGUGCAGGAAGUUUAGCUGCUCCAUAUAAAGGAGAGAUGUCAUCUAUUUCUGUCUGAAACAUAAAGAUAUCAAGGUCCAAAAUGUGGUGCUUCGAAGAAUGUUGUUUGAAAUCCAGUGGUACUUCCUCCUCAAAGCAAGUAACAAUGACAUUUGACAAGUUUUAAUUACAGACUGAGCCUCAAGGCUGGAGUCUGAGUUUAUCAUUUCAGCCAGUUACAGCAUUAGGCCAGUGGUUUUGUGGCAAUGGUGUUACAGUUUAGGUCAAGUGCAACAUCCUGUUUAGGAUCUUCAGUUGCUCCGUUUAUUUAUAUCAUUUGAAGUGAAUGCUGUCAUAUUUUUUUCUCUCAUUAACAGAAUAUACCUGCAGUUGAGUAUGAGAAAAAAUGGGAGGAAAUACAUUUCAUGAGCUGAAAUGUUUGUGGAAGGAGAAGGGAUUUUUAUUUCUACUUCAGUUGUCCCCAUGAGUGGAUAAGAACAGUUGAGUGAGAAGUAAGAUAUUAAAACAUCAUAUUACUAAAUCGGAAUACAGCUUAAAUGUCAGUUCUACAAACAGUUUUUGUACUAAGACUGCCUUAGAAUGGCAUUGAAAAUACCAACCUAAACAUUGUCACUGCUGGUGCCUGAAACUGGUGUAACUGUUAAUGACAUAGCUGAAAUGUCCUCAUUACAAAAUGCCAGGAUGACUCUGCUUCAACUGUGAAGAAAAGAAAUGACAUCUGCAGGUUUGGUGCUGGUUGUAACCUAUAGUGUAACCUGAGCUAGAACACAGCGAGGGCAGGAGAGAAGAGAGCUACCCAGGAACUCUGCUGUGACCCACUCUGCUUUGCUUACAUGUUUUCAUUUUUUAAUAGCCUUCAUUUUUCAUGGGAAAAGUACUAUUAUUUAGGAUUACCUUGAGCUCAUUUUAAGAUAUACACAAACAUCCCUUAUCCUAUAAAACCCCAGAACAGCUGAACACCAAAACAAACAACAAACCCCCCUACCCAAGCCAGUCAACUUCGUAAAUGCUACUUUCUAGUACGUUAAAACAAAUGGUGAUUUUGAACUUUCAUUUGGGUUUACCCACUCAUUUCCUGCUCCUGGCCAUUGUGAUUGUGGUAUUUAGUUCUGCAGAACCGUGAGCCAUUUAGAUUGGCUGUGCAGGUGGACAAUAUCUGGCAGUCCAGGACUGCAGGCAGCCUUAGGGAGUAACUAUAACAACUAAGACACUCGUUGUAGGUGGUCUAAAUACGGCUGCAUGUGUAUGUAGGCAUGGUGAGUCUUUGCUUAGUGAACAUUUCCAAGCAAGUUAUUUGUUAAAUGAAGGAUUUUGCAGACUGUCUGCAAACGGGUGAGAGAUAAACUGGCCGUGCACAAGACAUAUUCAGGCUUUGUGGUGACCAGGACCACACCGUGAGAUGCUGAGAGGGAUGUGUAGAUCUGACUAUUUCAUAUGAUCUUUAUCUGCAGUGGGCAUUUCCUCCAUCUGUAUAGGUGCACCAGUGUAAAUUUUGGUGUUUUCAAGCAGGAAGAAGCUAUGCUGGCACGAAUGACAGCCUACAACAGGUUUGCCCUCACUGGUGUGGCUACACAGGUAGUGGGAGCAAACUGAGAUGGGCGAUGCCCAUGGCUAACACUCUACAGGGGCAGGUAGAGGCACUUUUACUAAAACAGUAGCCUUGCCAGCACCCAUGGGCACCUGCUCACAGCAGCCUGGGGGACAGUGCAAGCAUUGGCUUUGUUUAUAGAAC